UCCAACUGGUGCCAGCUAAGCUUACUUGAACAGGCCAAGAUCUUAGUCUAGUUUCCAACAGCCUGGGGCCUGUGCCCUGAGCCCAAGCCAGCCUGUGAGGAGAAUUUUGAUGCUUGUCAGAGAGGCCUUUGCUCACUCAUUUCUAAACUUGAAUUUGCUUUUCCUUGUAGUUGUAUCAAACAAAGUUUAUAAAAAUUCUCUUGCGUGAAAUCAGCAGAAGAGGAGGCUUCUUAAGUCUGGGAUAGCUUAGAUGAGGAGUCAGUUUCCAUGUUGGAAAAGGUUGUGAUGGGAGACACCUGGUGCUUGGUGCAUGGCAUGGAGAGUCCUCUGGGAAGUCAGAAAAUUCCACAUGAGUGACAAGAGUGAAGCACAGGUGCCUGGGUUUUGCGUGAGUUACCCUUCAGAGAACAGAUGCCCCGCUUGUAAACAUCUUGCACAUCGAAACUGCUGGCAAAACUAAACUGCUGGCAAAAAACGUUGUUUUUUUGCUCUGCGCUUUUUGUUACAAGCAUGUAGCAAAUCAUCUAUAUUUAGCAUUAAUGAGUGUUUGUGAGUGGU